rnacentral:rRNA from 1 species
GACGAACGCUGGCGGCGUGCUUAACACAUGCAAGUCGAGCGGUAAGGCCCUUUCGGGGGUACACGAGCGGCGAACGGGUGAGUAACACGUGGGUGACCUGCCCUCAGCUCUGGGAUAAGCCUGGGAAACUGGGUCUAAUACUGGAUAUGACUCCACGGUGCAUGUCGUGGGGUGGAAAGCCUUGUGCGGCUGAGGAUGGGCCCGCGGCCUAUCAGCUUGUUGGUGGGGUGAGGCCUACCAAGGCGACGACGGGUAGCCGGCCUGAGAGGGCGACCGGCCACACUGGGACUGAGACACGGCCCAGACUCCUACGGGAGGCAGCAGUGGGGAAUCUUGCGCAAUGGGCGAAAGCCUGACGCAGCGACGCCGCGUGA